GUCGGAUAACAUCAGAGUGUGGUUAACCUUGCAGACCAUCGCUUAAAUCUACUCUUCCUCCCUGCGUCUCCACAGGUGAACAUUGUGACAACAUGUGAAUCUAUAUGAAGCCAUCUCACCUUUGGAGGUCUCCAUUGACUCAAUUACACCACGUGACCGCUUGGAGGCGCUAGUGAGACACUUGCUGCUUUGGCAUCAUAUGAAGCAUCUCAAUGUCAUUCAGUCUCAGAUUGAGACGUGUUAGAUCCGCUGGCGAGCAUGAAGCACCUGAGAGAGUUAAUGGGAUGAGAUGAACAGAGCUGCUGCGGGACGCCCCAACAUCAGUCACACACACACACACACACACACACACACACACACACACACACACACACACACACACUGCAUGGAGAUGAUGUGCUGUCUGCUCUCAGUACUGCAGGCACCUUGAGAUCCGAAAGCAUUUUCUUGACACUAUCUUUAAGCACACAGAGGGCAGAUGUCGCCGUUAUCUCCGUGUUAUUCCCGCAGCAUCGUGACCUGUGACCGGUUUAAUGUGCGUUGGGCAUCACGGGUGUCGCGGUUUCCCCGCUGCGCCACAGUCUAUCGGCUCUCCUGCAAGAAAUGAGUGUUUUAUGAGAACGAUACAUCACCGGCCAGCAACAGCGGCGACUGACACCUGCGAUUUUUCUUCUGGCUUAAAGGAAAGAAGAGAAAUAAAUGGACAGGAUCAGGCCUGUGUUUGUGGGAAAGGUUGAAGGUCACCGCGCUGACAGAAGACUAGCUGAAGAGGAACUACAGGCCUGACAGCAUAUUUCAAUGUGUUUAAUUAAAUCAAUACAGCCGCGGUGUCAGUCUCUCAGUGAGGAAACGUGUCACGAGUGCUCAGUGAUUACAGCACAGCUCCACACAACACGCUCCAGGCCUGAGGAGAACUUUCUCAUUCAACACUGAACAUGCAACCAAUUGAAAUCCAUUAUGAGACAACAUAUUACAUAAAUCUAAGGCGAAACUUGAUUUUAUUUUUUGGUAAAUGAUCAGAAGAGAAUCCCAUUUCUGCUACAUAAGAAAAACGCAGGAUUUGUAAACCAUAAUUAUGAGAUAAAAAUCUUAAUCAUGAGAUAAUAAGUCGAAAAAUUAUAAUAUUAAAGCUGGAAUAAUUAUGUUGAAAUUGCAAAAAAAUAUUUAACUUUGUUACGACUUUCUCAUAAUUAUGAAUUAGUGUGUCAUAAUUUUAACUUUUUAUGACAGUUUUGACUCAAAUAAGUCACGAUGGCAUAUUAAGAGUUUUGAUUUAAUCUAAUAAUGUCAACUUAACAUGUUAUUGACUUAAUUAUAAUUAUGAAUAAGUGUGC
ensembl:lncRNA